rnacentral:lncRNA from 1 species
GUGGACUACUGGGCCCAGCUGAAUGGUUCUCACCUGAGGUCUGUCAUGUAGUAGAGGAAGCUGCAGUCAGCAGAAGGCGUGACUGAUUGCAUGCCAAAAAUGGCUCACUCACAUGGGUGGAAUUUGAUGCCAGUUCCUGGUUGAGAGCUCAGCUAUGGCUAUUGACUGGAUAUCUACACAGGGCUGUCCUUGUGGCAUGGGAGUCUCACAAUGACAACUGAGUUCUCAGAAGGAGAGUGCCUACAGCACGCACUCCAAAAGAGCUUUCCUUCCUUCUGGGUGUGGGGCAGGACUGUCUCUG